GAAAAUCAGCUUCUACCUUAAUAACAAGCAGAGCUCUGCAUUUCUCUAACAUUGUGACAUCAUGGCAAGAGUGGCAGGAGAGAAGAUGUAUGUUCAGAGGCAGCCUGAGCUGCCUGUGUUCCCAAGGCAUCCUUUCUAAGGAAUCCAGGCCAAGGUCACCACCACCACACGUGCUUUCUGUGGCAGCCUCAUAGCAGAGAUGUCAUUGGCAAUGUUGAGCCUUCUGAAGAGGAAAAGACAGCCAGCGCUUCUGUUGUUCUCAUAUUCUGCAUAUUUUAUUGCCUUCACCAAUGGAUGGCAACACAAAGUUUUGUGGAUCUACUGAUUGUUAAUACAGUGGUGCCUCUGCCGUUUCAUAAAGGUCAUUCUGUCACAAAUCUUGUCUGCAGAGGCUCAUUCAGCUAAAGACUCCACAAAACUUGGCUUCACCUCUGCUCAUUUCAACAGUUUAGUGAAGAAAUGACACGUCAUCUGAUUAUCUGAUGCUAUAGCCAGUGGUUUAAGUUUAUGAUCUCAUCGUCAACUUAACAAAGAUGUCAUAGACUUUUCUGAUUGUAAAAUGAAUGGCUAUCCAGGAGUGAAGGAUUGCUCCAUUCCACAUCCUUACUUUCUUGACCUUUGGGCUUUGGUGGGACCUUUGAAAGCAUUUGACAAUGUACCCAAAUUUGUAAAUUAACAAAGUCUCAGAGACCCUUAAGUGACAAGGCAUACAGUGAUCGUAAACAUACCCUAAUUGAAACCUUUUGUAUUGGUAAAUGAGAAAAUGAGGUUCAGAGAUAUUACACUAUUAUAAAGAGAAGAGCUGGUGGUGGCAUGCAGGUUUAACCCUCCUCCUAGUUCUUGUCCUUCCUCGCUCAUUUAACCAACUGACUGCUUAUGGAAUGCCAGGCAUUAUGUAAGGUGCUAGAGAGUCAACAGCAAUAAAAACAGUUUCUGCUUGGAGGCCUUAUAAUCU
rnacentral:lncRNA from 1 species